GACGAACGCUGGCGGCGUGCCUAAUACAUGCAAGUCGAACGCUGAAGGAGGAGCUUGCUUCUCUGGAUGAGUUGCGAACGGGUGAGUAACGCGUAGGUAACCUGCCUGGUAGCGGGGGAUAACUAUUGGAAACGAUAGCUAAUACCGCAUAAGAGUAGAUGUCGCAUGACAUUUGCUUAAAAGUUGCAAUUGCAUCACUAACAGAUGGACCUGCGUUGUAUUAGCUAGUUGGUUAGGUAACGGCUCACCUAGGCAACGAUGCAUAUCCGACCUGAGGGGGUGAUCAGCCACGCGGGGAAGAGGACACGGCCCAGACCCCUACGGGAGACAGGAGUAGGGAAUCUUCGGGAAUCGGCGGAAGGCUGACCGAGCAAAGCCGCGUGAGUGAGGAAGGUUUUCGGAUCGUAAAGCUCGGUUGUAAAAGAAGAACGAGUGUGAGAGUGGGGAGUACACACAGUGACGGUAUCUGACCAGAAAGCAACGGCUAACUACGUG
rnacentral:rRNA from 1 species